ACAAACAUCAAAAUACCACCCUUCAAAGUUCAGUUGAACUUUACGCAACCAACACUGCCAAUCAAUCUUAUCUUCUCCAUCUCCUCAAAACAACUUUACGGCAACCAAACUGCUUCAAAGUUUACCACCCUUCAAAGUUCAGUUCAAGUUGAUCUUAUCUUCUCCAUCUCCUCAAAGUUCAGUUCAACAAAUAUCACCGCCCACCCUUCGGUUCUUCACCUAGGUCGUGCCGGAAACUAGAUUUGCAGUUCAGUUCAACAAAUAUCACCGCCCCCCCCCCCCCCCUUCAGAUGAAGACGAUGAGGUUUUGAGGGCCGGCGACCGGAGACGCCGCUCACGGCGGCGGUCUUUAUCUCCGACCGGAGACGCCGCUCACGGAAAUUUAAAACUAAAGGGCAGCAAGUGAAUAACAAAAAGAAAGAAGCAAGAUGGGAAUUUCUAGUUAGAAAAGUUGAAGCAGCUAAAGCUGUAUCGUCGGAUAUGUAAUUUUAUUAUGUAAUUUUAUUAUGUAAUUUUAUUUUGGUUAUGCUCGUAGAUUUUAAACAUUUUUUUUUUAUUUGCUUUUGUAUCCGAUCUCUCUCGGAUGUUUUAUAAAUAGAAUAAAACUAGAAAAAACAUUAAAUUUCGU
rnacentral:lncRNA from 1 species